CAUGCAGACAGAAGUUGGAGAGACCUUGACCGAACCUGAGGGGACGGUGGAAGGUCACCUCCCAGCAGGUGCCUCUCAGCAGUGCGGCAGCUCCCUUGAACACCAACCUCCUCUUGUUGCCUUGGAUACAGUCCUCGAGUCCUAGGGUCAUAAAGCCAUGGAAUCCUCAACUCCUAGAGUCACUGAAUCCUAGGAAACCCCAGAUUUCGGCGCUCAUUUUUGACUUAGGGAUGAUGCUGAGACAUCAGGGAGAAGGUCCCAUACAAGAGCAACUGACUGCAUCAACAAUACCUUUGUCCAUUUCUGAUCCAAGAUCCCUCAGUCCAUUCCUGAGGAAAGGCAAUGGAUAUUUGAUUGCACCGAGAGUGUUGGACUGACUGAUGUCAGGACUGUGUGAACAGAAGGAAGAUCCUCCAGAACAUUCCCACUGGCACUCUGUGGGGACCAAAGUUUGUGGAAGACUUCAUGAAAAUUUACUGGGGA
rnacentral:lncRNA from 1 species